rnacentral:lncRNA from 1 species
UAACUAACCAAAACUGUUUUUUCUUGUGCUGGACUAAUUUUCACUAAUUCUGUAACAAUAACAAGGAAUUGAUGAGUAAUGUUCGUGAAGUUCGAGACAGUGUCGUUUCAGAAAUUGCUAAGAUGUCUCUUCUGCGAUCUCUUCCUCUUCAAUCGCACCCGGUCACCACCAAGCCAGCAAACGUUCAAGCAGUCACCGUGAGUGUUCUCA